ACAUGGUAUCAACCCUGAGACACACCACCAGUGACUGGCUUCCAUCUGGAUUUUCUGUGACUAAUUAUGCUUCUCUGGGCUCAGUCAUUUAGCCAGUUUUCAAUCCACCUCCCUGCACUUAUCUAACCUGUACUUAAACUAUUUAUCUAUGGAUAUGUUAUGUGAGAGAGUGUCAAAAGCCUUGCUAAAGUCAAGUAAACAUCAUCCAUGGCUCUCCUGUCACUCACCAAGAUCGUCAAGCUAUCAGACUGGUCAGGCAUGAUUUACUCUUACCUGCUUCUGACUGCUCCGGAUAACCUUAAUAUUCUUCAUGUGUCCAAAAAAGGUUUCCAGGAUUAUUUGCUUCACCAGCUUCAGAGGGAUGGAGGUGAGGCUGACCAGCUUGUAGUUCCUUGGAUCCACCUUCUUGCUCUUUUUGAAGAUAGAGAUGAUAUUUGAUUUCUUCCAUUCCUCAGAAACCUCUUCAAAUUGCCAUAACCUUUCAAAGAUAAGCAACAACAUCAGCCAGCUUCCUCAGCUCUCAUGGCUUCAUCCCAUCAGCUCCCAUGGACUUGUGUGUGCCCAGUUUGUUUAAGUGUUUCCUAACCUUGCCCUCCUCAAUUGAGGGACAUCACAUCUCAAAAGUAUGUGCGACAGAGCUGCAGUUUACAUUUCAUCUGCUUCAACAGUUGGUUCUGACAGCUGCCAGGAAAGGAGCAUGGCGUUGUUCACUGCCUGGAUUUAUGACUGUGCCUUCAUCCUUUCUGUAAUUCCAUGUUGCAGCAAUGUCCUGGGAAAGUUUUUAUCUGACGUGGGAUCCUUCCCAUUGACAUGAGAAAAGGGUUGUGUUUGAGAGAAAUGUCCAUCUAAAGGGGACCAUCAAGGCACCACGUCAGGGGCUUGGAGACCUGUGCUCAAUUUUCACCUUUGACAAGUUUUUCUUGACUCAGUGUGAGCGAUUUGCUUUUCCUUGGAUUGCAUCUGCACUUAGAAAAUGAGCCCACUCCUGAACAGAGGUGUUGAAAGGCUACAUUAAUCUUUGUGGGGUGCUCAGACACGUCACACUAAGUACCUGGAUAGAUGGCUGACAGCCAAGAUGAGGCAAAUUACUAAUUACUUUCUUUCAGCUCAGGUUUUUGGGUUGCUUUGUAAUCCGUUGUGUGGGAAGACACCAAGAUACAUGUGUUAACUAUUAAAUAUGAGGCUGUAAAAUGUA